UAAAAUUUAUAAAAUUAGGUAGUAAAGAAAUUUCUGAAACCUAAAGAAUUUGGCGGUAUUUUAAAUAAUUGGAGGAACCUGUUAUUUAAUUGACAAUCCACAGCAUAUCUUACCUAAAUUUUAUUUGUAUAUCGUCGUUUUGAUAAUAUUUAAAAAUAAUAAUCAAUUUUAAUAAAUUUUUAAAAUUCAGAUCAAGGUGCAGUAUAUUUAGGUUAUAAUGGGUUACAAUAUAUCUAUAUAAAAUGAAUAUAAAAUUGAAAUUAUAUUGAAGGUGGAUUCAAAAGUAAAAUUAAAUUAAAAAGUUAAUUUGAUUAAUAAUUUAAAAUAUGC
rnacentral:rRNA from 1 species